AGAGUUUGAUCCUGGCUCAGGACGAACGCUGGCGGCGUGCCUAAAACAUGCAAGUCGAACGGUGUAGCAAUACACAGUGGCGAACGGCGGAGUAAUACAUGAACAACGUGCCCGGAAGACUGGGAUAGUCAGGGGAAACCCUGGGUAAUACCAGAUGUGGCCACUCUUUGGCAUCUUAGAGUGAUUAAAUGGUUUUUCGCUUCCGGAGCGGUUCAUGGCCUAUCAGGUAGUUGGUGAGGUAACGGCUCACCAAGCCGACGACGGGUAGCGGGUCUGAGAGGAUGAUCCGCUCGAGUGGGACUGAGACACGGCCCACACACCUACGGGUGGCAGCAGUUGGGAAUCUUGCACAAUGGGGGAAACCCUGAUGCAGCGACGCCGCGUGGAGGAUGAAGGAUCUAGGUCUGUAAACUCCUUUUUCAGGGAAAGACUUAGGACGGUACCCUGAGAAUAAGGACCGGCUAACUACGUGCCAGCAGCCGCGGUAAUAC
rnacentral:rRNA from 1 species